rnacentral:rRNA from 1 species
UACAGAGGGUGCGAGCGUUGUUCGGAAUUAUUGGGCGUAAAGCGCUUGUAGGCGGCCUGUCAAGUCGCGUGUGAAAUCCCUUGGCUUAACCAAGGAAGUGCGCGCGAAACUGGCGGGCUUGAGUGCCGGAGAGGGUCGCGGAAUUCCCGGUGUAGAGGUGAAAUUCGUAGAUAUCUGGAGGAACACCGGUGGCGAAAGCGGCUCACUGGAUCGAAACUGACACUGAGGUGCGAAAGCUAGGGUAGCAAACGGG